rnacentral:rRNA from 1 species
UCGAGAAUCUUCGGCAAUGGGCGCAAGCCUGACCGAGCGACGCCGCGUGUGGGAUGAAGGCCCUUGGGUUGUAACCACUGUCAGAGGGGAUGAAGUGCCAGCCAGCAAUCUGGUUGGUUUGACAUAGCCUCAGAGGAAGCACGGGCUAAGUUCGUGCCAGCAGCCGCGGUAAUACGAACUGUGCAAACGUUAUUCGGAAUCACUGGGCUUAAAGGGUGCGUAGGCGGCCAGCUAAGCAGGGUGUGAAAGCCCCCGGCUCAACCGGGGAAUAGCGCCCUGAACUAGCGGGCUGGAGUGAGAUAGGGGUGUGCGGAACUUCCAGUGGAGCGGUGAAAUGUGUUGAUAUUGGAAGGAACGCCGGUGGCGAAAGCGGCACACUGGGUCUCAACUGACGCUGAGGCACGAAAGCCAGGGGAGCAAACGG